UCAUUCCAUAAACCAUUCUCCUUGAGAGGUGCUAAAAAUGGAAGGGACAAGAUGAAAGGCUGGUCACAAGAUUCGGCCCAGAAGCCUCUCCGGUGCUCUGCAGCCUGGGCCGUCGCUGCUGCUCCGACUUGACCUGCCCCGGGUGUCACUUGGCAAGAUGCAGACCCCAGCUGUUCGAUCCCAGCCUCGUCUGCUGUGUGGACACGGUGAAAGCCCACGAGCAGUUGACCGUCAGCCAGGGCGACUGUCCCAGGCCGGGCCUGACUCACAGGGGCCACAGUCCUGGACAGCAGAGCUGAGGAAGGAGCCCACCGUGGGACAGCAGCCGUGGCCGGUGCCCGAGAGCUCCACGCAGUUCCUGCUGAUCACCCCAAGGACUCUGGACUCCCUGACGGAAGGUUCUAAGCUGGAGUUCUGCCAGAACCUCUCCCUCUCUCCAGCCGUCUAUCGCCCUGGGUCUAACGUUGUCCUGGAUACUGACCAACACCCCAUGCAGCCGUGGGGACCGAGCGCACUGGUUAUUUCCUGAUCUGUGCUGCUGGGAGUCUCGCCUACGACCCUUGCUGUCCCCUCCCAGGACUGCGGCCCGUGCCAGCCUCUGCUCUCUCUUGAGCCUCCUUGAGGCCCAUCCUCCAGCACUUGCCAGCGGUCAGGACAGCUCUCUGUGCGCCUUCCUCUGUCUGCCGCCGCCGGGGACUCGAGCAGCGAGUGGUGGCUCCAAGCACUGCCUGUCACGUGGCAUCCUCCGUGGCCACGUGGAUUUCUUCACUAGGUGCUGCCGACUCCAAGCGCUUCCUCCACUGAAGGGCAGCAGCGGCUUUUCUCUUCCUCCUAGGGUCACUUAGAGACUGAAUGAGGUCCCUCAAGCGCACUGGGCACCUUGCCUGCCGUGCGGUAGCUCAGUACAAGUUCCAAGUGGGGUGUCCUUGCUGCGAUUCUCAGUAGAGACGCUGGCAAUGUGCGCUCGACUCUGGGUGUGGAGCUGGUGCUCUGUGAAUGUCCUCCCCCUCGGGUCACCUGGGGUGGCUUUGGCCAGCAAAGCCUCUUGGCCAGCGGUUCACUUGGCCUCUCCCAGCCCCAUGAUGGCGGCGGGGAGUCGUGGUGACAUUCUGCCCCUGUCUUGAGGACAGGCCCCUCUCUAAGAGCCCUGACAGUCCUUGCAGGGCAGAAGAGAAGACCUGGGGAAAAGUGUCCCAUCUCUCGGGCUCCACCUGGGGACGCGUCCAGGACUCCACGUGGGGAGGUCCUGUCCGCCUUCUCCUUGCUCUUGGUGUCAGUGGGGGAAGCCCUCUCUCCACCCCGGAACCAAAACACCGUUCCCCACGUUGAACUCUGCCCGACGCAGGAGCCUGCUUCCUUCCCCCGGGCGGCCGUCGGGUUUCCUCUGGGCCAGGGAAACACCCCAGGGAACAGUCCAGAAGGGAAGCCUGCGAUUUCUUUUUUAAUUUCAAAUUCCAGAUUUUUUAAUGACAGUGUCCCAGCUCUGCCACGUCGGGGAGGACUGUGGAGAAUGUGCCCAUGGCAAGAGCAGCUGGGUCCUCCAGGCAGCUCCCUCCUGUGCCCCAGGAGGACGAGCACCUGACGGAGACCAGUCCCAGCCGAGGCCUGCACAGGAGCCGGCAGGGGCAGCCUCGAGCGGCUCCCACGGGUUUCUCAGACCCCCGUCUCCUGCCGCCCUGGCUGCACCGGCUGGCUUCUCCGUCUGCAGGGUACUUAGUGGGCCAGCGGCCAUCCUGGAGCCUCAGUGUCCUCUUGUGCAGGACGCAGGGUCUGAACUGCAUAUACACGUCAUGAAGACCUUCCAGCUACAGACGCCAUCAGCUUUGCGGGCGGUGGAGGCCGCUGGAGUGGCAUUGGGCUCCCGCGUGCCUCGUCGGGAGCCCAGCAUGGCAUGCAGGCUCUGCCACUUCCUUGCCAGACGCCACAGGACAGUCAUGGAAUCUCCUGAGACUCUGGUUUCUUCCCAGGGAGUCAGGAGUCACGAGCCUCUUUGUACCAACCUUCCUGGGCCCUGAGGGCAUGACCCACGCCAUCCCCAUCUGAUGAGGGGCGCUGUCAUCAGCCCCAUAGGUCACCCUAGGCCAGGUAGCUGUCACAUGCUGUAUCAGCCGGGUGCCAACAGAGCUGCAGAAUCGGUGGGAGAUAGAUAUUAAGAGGCUCCACUCUGGGGCGCCGGCCAGGAAGCUGCAAAUGCCUAGAGCAGGGCGGUCCCCAGGAAGGCAGGGCUGCAGUCCUGCGUGGUGUCUCCUGCCUCGGGGACGCCUGCUCUGAUGGCCCAAAUGAUGGGCCCCAGGUGAUCCAGAGCAGCCUCCCUCACCAACAGUUGGCAGACCCCGGACUUUAAUUACACCUGUAAGAUCCUGUCACAGCCUCACUGAGGCGGGACUCGACCUUGGGCAGUCUGUACUGUUUGUAUUAUUAUUAUUAAAUCAAUAGACUUUUUAGAGCAA